ACAAUGGUGCACGUCACGGCCA
rnacentral:misc_RNA from 1 species